rnacentral:rRNA from 1 species
AUUGAACGCUGGCGGCAGGCCUAACACAUGCAAGUCGAGCGGAGCGGCGGACGGGUGAGUAAUGCCUAGGAAUCUGCCUGGUAGUGGGGGAUAACGUCCGGAAACGGGCGCUAAUACCGCAUACUAUCAGAUGAGCCUAGGUCGGAUUAGCUAGUUGGUGGGGUAAAGGCCUACCAAGGCGACGAUCCGUAACUGGUCUGAGAGGAUGAUCAGUCACACUGGAACUGAGACACGGUCCAGACUCCUACGGGGGGCAGCAGGGGGGAAUAUUGCACAAUGGGGGGAACCCUGAUGCAGCGACGCCGCGUGCGGGAUGACGGCCUUCGGGUUGUAAACCGCUUUUAUUGGGGAGCGUGUACCUUUUGAAUAAGCACCGGCUAACUACGUGCCAGCAGCCGCGGUAAUAC